AUUGAACGCUGGCGGCAGGCCUAACACAUGCAAGUCGAGCGAGCGGAGGACGGGUGAGUAAUGUAUGGGGACUGCCCGAUAGAGGGGGAGAACUACUGGAAACGGUAGCUAAUACCGCAUACGAUCGGAUAACCCAUAUGGGAUUAGCUAGUAGGUGAGGUAAUGGCUCACCUAGGCGACGAUCCCUAGCUGGUCUGAGAGGAUGAUCAGCCACACUGCGACUGGGACACGGCCCAGACUCCUACGGAGGCAGCCGGGGGGACUAUUGCACAAGGGGCGCAAGCCUGAUGCAGCCAUGCCGCGUGUAUGAAGAAGGCCCUAGGGUUGUAAAGUACUUUCAGUCGGGAGGCGUUACCGACAGAAGAAGCACCGGCUAACUCCGUGCCAGCAGCCGCGGUAAUAC
rnacentral:rRNA from 1 species